rnacentral:rRNA from 1 species
CAAUAGCGUAUAUUAAAGUUGUUGCGGUAAAAAAGCUCGUAGUUGGAUUUCUACCGAAGAUAGCCGGUCGGGUCUUCGACCUUGUAUCUGGUUUUGUCUUUGGUAUCCUCAUAGGGAACGUUUCUGCGCUUUAUUGCGUGGUGCGGUAUCUAUGACUUUUACUUUGAGGAAAUUAGAGUGUUCACGGCAGGCAAACGCCUUGAAUAUAUUAGCAUGGAAUAAUAACAUAGGAUCUUCGUCCUAUUUUGUUGGUUUCUAGGGCUAAGAUAAUGAUUAAUGGGGAUAAUUGGGGGCAUCUGUAUCAACGCGUCAGAGGUGGAAUUCUUGGAUUGCGUUGCGACAAACUACUGCGAAAGCAUUUGCCAAGGAUGUUUUCAUUGA